UACAGAGGUCUCGAGCGUUGUUCGGAUUCAUUGGGCGUAAAGGGUGCGUAGGUGGCGCUGUAAGUCGGGUGUGAAAUCCUGAGGCUUAACCUCGGAACUGCAUUCGAUACUGCGGUGCUUGAGGACUGGAGAGGAGACUGGAAUUCAUGGUGUAGCAGUGAAAUGCGUAGAGAUCAUGAGGAAGACCAGUGGCGAAGGCGGGUCUCUGGACAGUUCCUGACGCUGAGGCACGAAGGCCAGGGGAGCAAACGGG
rnacentral:rRNA from 1 species